rnacentral:lncRNA from 1 species
CUGCCCGCCACCGCCACCGACGAGUUUCAACAUGGGGAAUCAAGUUCUCUGGGCUUGCAGAGAGGAGAUGGGCGGGUUGGGCUUUGUAUGGCGAUGUGAAAACCAGAUGGGUCUGGGAGAGACAGCGAAAGGAGCGAACCGUUUCAGGAGGAAUACGGGAGGAAGACAAUUAUUUGCAGAGGUGUCAGGUUUGCUAAUCCUGUCCCCAGUGAGCAAGAUACCUUUGCAAGGGGAUUUGAUGCAGAUGAUCAUCAUGGCUUGGAGAAACAAUGAAGGAAGCAAAGUAUGCCAUCUAUGCUGCGGGAGGUAACUCCAGAAGACCCCAGAGAGUGAAUAGGGAGGGAAGGUUUAAAAGAAUCUACUCAGAACUGAAGGAGCCAAGACUCUGUGGGUGCAUUUGAAACAACCUGGCAUUUUUGGGAAACUGCCAGGAGUUCCACAAGGCUGAAGAGCAGCCUGAGAAGGGAGAAGGAACGAGUUUGGACUUUUAACUGAGGGCCAUUGGAAACUACUGAAGAGUUUUAGGCAGCAUAAGAACUACUAGAUUUUCAUUGUGGGAGGAUCCUCAGCAGCAGCCUCAGAAAGGAGAUUGGGGAAGGAGAUCCCUAGUCAGGGAGACCAAGAAGACUACUGGAAAAAAACAGGGGAAUCCUCAAGGACCUGCAAACAAGAAACCAAAUCCCCCCACUCCCCCCAGCCAAAAUGUGUUCAUUUUGACCAGCUGUGUGUGUGUUUUAAAUUAAAAGUUUGAAUUAGAAAGCAAGUAGGAUAAAUUUAUAUACUUAGAUGUAUAAAUUUAAAUACCUGGCCCCUGAAGCACUUCUGAUAGGUCUCAGCUACCCAAACAAGAAGAACGGAAUCUUUGAAUCCCCAGGACUCAACGCAGUACUGGACACAAAAUGGGAGCUGAAAAAGUGUGUGUGGAGUCAGUGAAGGAUGCAAUUUCCCCUCAUUGUAGAGAUGAAGAAGCUGAGGCUGCAGAGUAGAAUAGGAGCAGACAGUGGGGAUUGUCUUCAAAGUAGGUUCCUAGUUCCUGGCUCAGAGGUCCCAGUUUUUGUUGACCAUGGACAGUAAAACUCCCUGGGGAAGCGGGCCCAGUCUCAGGAGAGCAGUUUUGAUUGGUCUAAGUUUGUGAUUGACUUAGGAACUGUCUGGCCAAUGAAAUAUGAGGGAAAGCCUGGGGGAUUCUGGGAAAGGUUUUGUAAACCAAAAAGUAUUUGAGACAUGUCUCAAUUUUAGAGGAUUAUUUUGCCAAGGUUAAGGACCAUUGCCCAUACAGCCUCAGGAGGCCCUGAGAACAUAUACCCAAGGUGGUUGGGGUACAGCUUCAUUUUAUACAUUUUAGGGAGUCAGAAGUUACAGGCAAAGACAUAAAUCAAUACAUGCAAGGUAUACAUUGGUUUGGCCCAGAGAGGUGGAACAUCUAGAAGCAGGAGCUUCCAGGUCAUAAGUGGAUUCAAAGAUUUCCUGAUUGGCAGUUUGUUGACAGAGUUAAGCUCCGCCCCAAGAGUUGAUGUCAGCUUAAAUUAAGGUAAGGGGGUGCUUUGUGGAAACCAACGUUCUUAUCAUGUAUAUGAAGCCUCCAGGCUUCAGCGAGAAUAGAUGUGAAUGUCUUUUAUUGGACCUUAAAAAUUGUCAGACUUUCUGGAAAAGACCUAAUAAGGGAAUCUUUACAGAACAUAAUUUUUUCACCCACAAGUGACAGCUUGGCAGGGCCGUUUCAAAAUAUGUAAAGAAAUAUAAUUUGAGGUAAAAUAAUUUGAUUUCCUUCAGGGCCCACUGGCUGUCACGUGAUGUUAUACCAGAGUCAGAUUGGAAUCUGUUGUCUUACUGCUACCAAGAUUUUGUCUUGACAGUCUUAAGAUUCCUGUUUUAAUGUCAGUUCUGGUCAGUUGUGUCUAAACUCAAAAGGAAGGAGGGUAUAAUGAGGCAUGUUUCACCCCCUCUUUCCCAUCAUGGCCUGAACUAGUUUUUCAGGUGUUUUUUUGAAUCCCUUUGGCCAAGGGGGAUCCAUUCAGUCAGCUGAGGGGCUUAGAAUUUUAUUUUUGGUUUAUAGUUUCCUCUUGAUUAAAGAAGGAAGUCUGCAAUGUGGGUUUGUAACCUAGUUUUUAAUAACUUUACAUCAGACUUGUAAUUUAUUGUUACUUUCUGAAGACACACUGAUAAAACCUCUCUACCAUGACGUCAUUGCAUGUUUUCACGGUAGAAAUUCUAAUUAUUUGCUAAAGUGAAAAUAAAGUCAAACAUGCCUAA